AUUUGUUGCAGUUUAUGAAAAUCUGAGGAAUACAGCAAACACUAAUAACAAAAACGUUAUAAUUCUUCCGCUUAUCAGGUGAGAAGCUGCAGAAACAUUGUGAGGCCCGACGGAAUACACUGAACCAGAACUUUCAUCCCUCACUUUGAUGCUUGAAGAGCCUAAAACAAACAAGAACAUUGAAAGAGAAAGGCAAGAAUAAGUCUUUGAUUCAAUGAUAUGAACUGUAUGCCAGAAUGGGGAAGAACAAAUCAUUAAAGGAAACAGGGAGACGGGGAAAAAAACUCAACAGAUGUAUGCAUCUAUGAUAAAACUAUUUCCUCAGGAAGGUAAAGGUGACAAUAGAGGAGACAUGUGCAAAUUGGCAUAGUUAGGAAUACUGAGGAAAAUCCAAAUCCAAACAAUGAUGUUACAGAGCUUUUGCAAAUCCAAAAAUAUGAAGUUAAAAAUUAAAAUACAGAAAAAGACCAAGAGAUUAAAGAACCCAAAGGGUCGAAAACCAUCUUGAAUGCACUUAUGCGGUCAACUUUAGCAUUUCUGCCUAGAAUAACAUAAAAUAAAAAGAAGCAAGGAAGAGAGUCUAGUUCUUUGUCUGGCUUCAUUAAGUAUGAAUCAAAACACAAAUCAAGUCAUCAAAUAUAAAAUUGAAGAAAGACUAUAUGGUACUCACAGUUGUACUCUGUCCAUCCAAUUGCCUGAUUUUCGAUGUCAUAUAAAACAAGCUUAUUUGAAAGCACCAAAUCUGUAUUGAAAUAAUUAGCAAGUUAAAAUUUUAAACUGAUGAUUUUAUUUUUAUUUUCCAGUUAAUGAAAAUAAAAACAAUUUAUUAUGUCAUCUACUUCAACCAGUUCAGCUCAAAUCAAUAUAUGUGUAGCAGAACCCAAAAGAUUAACAAGAAGGCUCUAGGAUACUUAGCAAGGACAAGAAUGAAAUUUAAAAGAAUUUAAAUUGCCAUGGUGACUGGCACUUAUUUACAUUUUUCAAGCAUGUCUUAUAAAUGAUAUUCCAAGCCAUCAACUAAUUUGUUAGAUAAGAGUAAGAGACCAAUGGAACUGUUCAGCUUUUCAUCAUUCACUGUAAGACAAAUGCUGUCAAUUUUCACUUGCUAGAAUGCAGAAUCCAUGGCCUUAAAAUAGGCAGUUGUGCAGUUCCAGGCUAGGAUGAGUUGAACUUAAUCUGAUAGUGUUCACCAUUUCACCAUCUACAUUAUGUGAAACGAAAAGUAACAAUAUUUAGAAUGGAAAACCAAUUGAAGACCAUACCUCCUAAAAGAGUCAUAUCCCUACCAUCCUUAGAUUGCACCCCACUGUUUUGCCAACCAAAACACCAUACAUCAUCACGAAUUUGGAACAGAUAGUCAUGUGGAUAAACACUCAAAGUAAGCGAAUCUUCAAAAUGAAACUUGACAACCGGAAAUCCAUCAUCAACAUUUCCACUGUACUGAAAGCACAGAAACUGCUCCUCAACAGUAUGCAAUUUCAAUCCAGGUUGCUGGGCCACAAUCUUAGUCAUCAUUGAAUCAUAAACUGUCUCUGGAAGAUAUGCCAAGGUAGUACCACUGUCGAUUAUUGUUCCUUUCCGAUCUCCAGAAUCAAAUGUAUCUGUUGGAAGUUCCAGAACAUUAUUGCCCACCUCUAUUUCCUUCAUGACAACAUUGUAAUGCGGCUGAUUUGCUACCAUUGGAGUUGUAUUUGCUUUUGGUGAGACUACCUCCCCAAUAGCAAAGAUUCCACCUCCAUUUGCAUUGUCCAGGCAAUGCGCAAACAUUUUUUUAACCUUUCCUGCUGCAGCAAGUUGUGAAAUCAUGGAUGAGUUUGCCUGCCCAAAACCAAGUAUUCCAUCCAGUGCUUCACUGGAUGUACCUAACUCCCCAGAUUGUUUGGCUCCACAUCCAAAUAUAACACUUCCAUUCGCUGAUGCAGUUUGAAGAUUUCCGGUAACUCUUUCAAACUGCAAAUUGUCCCUCACAAAGAAUCCAGCUGUUGAGCUUCCGUCACCAUAAACAACAUUGUAUUGGCAGGGAAAGUCUUUUGUGCAACCCUGGAGCACACCGUUGUAUGUAGCAGCACAAAAUUCAUCAUCACAAUAAAUCCUUGUAGCAGAAGCAGAAGUCGUUGGAUCAUACAAUGUCAAUUUUACACCAAGAUCACUUUUUGUGGGACACCUGUCGCAGUUGGCACAAUUCACCCACAGAAUGUCACUGCCAGUAUCAACUUGCACAAAGUAGUCCUUUGGUGGAUUUCCAAGCCCAAUUUUGGCAAAGUAAAGGCUAAAGAAAUAAAUGAAGAAAUCAUAUAAGCACCCAAAAUGAAUUAUACAAAAUAUGCAUGAGUUGAUGAGUAAAAAGACAAUAUUAUUCCAUCCAUUUCGCGAGAUUCUAGAUAUUAUUUUCCUCAUUUUCCUCAAUCAUCUUAACAAUGAAACAGAAUGGUGGAAUUUACAUCAGAGAGGAACAUAAUUACAGCACAUCUAACCAAAAAUUUCCAAAACAGAUCAACAAAUACAAAUAGAAGGAAUAUUGGAUACAAAAACGAAAUAAAGUCAUGAACAUGACAAAAUAUCAAAGAACAACCAAUAUAAACAACAGUGAAAACAUUGUUGAUUCCUUCCCAAUAAACCCAAUUCGCUGCAACAUCAAUUACAAGCAUAGCAAGCAGCAAAAGUAAGUCUAGGAUAAAGCUGAUAAUUGGAUCUAGAACCAAUUGCAAUUGCAUAUAUAAGCAGAAAAAGUAACCUCACCCAACAAUUAAUAUGAAACAUGAUCACCUCCACUUAUUAAAAACAAAGCAAAAAUAAAAUAAAAAUUGUAGCUGGAAUUUAUAUAGAACCGACCCAGCUUCAGCUGGAUGGCCAUUGCCACCUAAAGGGAGAUCGACAGCGGAGAGAAUUCUCCGGUGACGGCGAGCAUCAUGGGCUUUUAAUGCGCUGAGGCUGCGUUCUUUACCAGCAAACUUAUUUUGGACCUUAAAAACGACAUUCCCAGAAGCUAAAAACACAAAACCCAAUUGAAAAAGAACCGCCACCGUUAAACCCACCAGCAAUCUCCUCAGAUCCAUCGUCACGCACCGCCACCAAAGUCUCAAGUGCCUUUGCUAUCAAAAAGAAAAGUAAUCGAGCUAAAUUAAAUUAAGCUCGUAUUUAAUUUUCUUCCCGGCUUUUGUUAUCGUCUUCUUUCUCCCUCUCUCCCUUUCGGUAUUAAGAGAAAGGAAUUAAGGCGGCGGUUCUGAGAGAUUUCUUAGGUGGUUGAAAUUGAAAGAAAGAAAGAAAGAAAAGGGUAUGAGAAAGAAAAGAAGAGAAGCGGAAGGAAAGGUUCACAAUGCCCGUUUUCAACGGCAAACCACACGUCCGUCCUUACAAUGUAACGUGAAGAGAACGUUGGUCUACUUCUUCGGCUUCUUUUUUUUUUUUUUUUU
rnacentral:misc_RNA from 1 species